AGACUUACACAAGCCUCGAAAGCCCGAGCAGUGUUACAGUUCUCAGAUUGCCUUCUCUCAACAAGCGGCUGGUUUGCACUGGGGCCUCCCGGACUUCCUUUCAAAAAAUGGAGAAGUGGGAUUGCAGCUGCUGAAACGGGCCCAUGGGAGGUGUGAGGGCUGGCACGCGUGAUGGUGGGGCCCUGAGGUGGGGUGCUCAGUGCUGACCUUCCCGCUGGGCGGCCAGAUCCCCCGGACGCGGUGAAGAUCCUAAUGUGUGAAAAAAUGAAGUCCCAGUUGACCACGAUUUGCUGUUUAAUGUUAUUUCUGGCCACGGAGUGUUCUCACUCCAGAUCCAAGAUCCAAAUAAAAGAGGGAUAUAACCAUCAGCGUCCUGAAGAGAAACCCAAGGCUGAAAGUAUACAAGAGAAAUGCCAUGGACAUUGUACCGCUUCUUCCAACUGCAGCCAGUCCUGUGCUCAGCACUUUCGUGGAGAAAUAGGAUUUACAUGUCAUCAAAACAAGUGGCAAAAAUCAACUGAAACCUGUACAAGCCUUUCCAUGGAAGCACUCUUUAAGGACUCAGAUAGUGCAUCACGCCUUUCCGUAGCAGCAGCAUCUAUACCUCUGCACAUUCUUGACUUUCAAGCUCCAGCCCCCAUCGGGAGUGUCUCUCAAGGAAUCCGCAAGCACUGCCCCGUUGAUUACGCCUGCAUAGUCGAUGCUGUGAAAUCAUCAGAAGCCACAUCUGGAAAUAUCGCCUUUAUAGUGGAGUUAUUAAGAAAUAUUUCUACAGACUUGUCUGAUAAUGUUACCCAAGAGAAAAUGAAGAGCUACAGCAAAGUGGCCAGCCACAUUCUUGACCCCGCAGCCAUUUCAAACUGGGCUUUCAUUCCAGACAAAAAUGCCAGCUCAGAUUUGUUACAGUCAGUGAAUUUGUUUGCUGGGCAACUCAGCAUCCAAAAUGAAUCAGAGAACAUUGUGGACGAAUUCUUCAUUCAGACGAAAGGGUUUUACAUCAACCACGAUACCUCAGAGAAGAGUUUCAAUUUCUCCAUGAGCAUGAACAAUGCAAGAGAAGGUGUCUUAGGAAUGAUAGAAAUUCCCAGGCAUGAGCUGCAGACGUUGCCACCAAAUGCAUCCCAAGCCAUCAGCGUAGCUUUUCCCACCUUGGGGGCAGUUCUGAAAGAAGCGCACUUGGAAAAUGUGAGUCUUCCCAGGCCAGUAAAUGGUCUGAUUCUUUCCGUGAUUUUGCCAGACAGAUUGAAGCAGAUCUUACUCACCUUUGAGAAGAUCAACAGAUCCCGGAAUUCCAGGGCCCAGUGUGUUGGCUGGCACUCCAGAAAAAGGAGGUGGGAUGAGAAUGUGUGUGAAACGAUGUUGGAAACCAUGGACAAAGUGAAAUGCCAGUGUAACUACACUAGUAUGAUGAUGUCUUUUUCCAUUCUGAUGUCCCCCAAAUCUAUAGACGAUAAAGUCCUGGACUAUAUCACCUACAUUGGGCUCAGCAUCUCCAUCCUUAGCUUGAUUCUUUGCCUGCUCAUUGAAGCCACUGUGUGGUCCCGGGUGGUUGUGACAGAGAUAUCAUACAUGCGUCACAUGUGCAUCGUGAACAUCGCUGUAUCGCUCUUGACGGCUAAUGUGUGGUUCAUCAUAGCCUCUAACUUUAACAAGAAGGCUCCGGAUGACCACUGGUGUGUUGCAGUGACAUUUUUCAGCCACUUUUUCUACCUCUCUGUGUUCUUCUGGAUGCUCUUUAAAGCACUGCUCAUCCUCUAUGGAAUAUUGGUCAUUUUCCGGAGGAUGAUGAAGUCCUGUAUGAUUGCCAUUGGCUUUGCCGUUGGCUAUGGGUGCCCGCUGGUCAUUGCUGUCACCACAGUUGCUGUCACAGUGCCAAAGAAAGGCUACGUGAGACCUGAUGCCUGUUGGCUUAACUGGGACAAUACCAAGGCACUCUUAGCCUUUGCCAUCCCAGCUUUGGUCACUGUGGCUGUGAACCUUACCGUAGUUAUUGUCGUUGCUCUCAACACUCAGAGGCCCUCGAUUGGCAGUUCCAAGUCUCAGGAUGUAGCUGUAAUGAUGAGGAUCAGCAAAAAUGUUGCCAUCCUCACCCCACUGCUGGGACUGACCUGGGGUUUUGGAAUAGCCACCCUCAUAGAAGGCACUUCCUUGAUUUUUCACAUCAUCUUUGCCUUGCUUAAUGCUUUCCAGGGGUUCUUCAUCUUGUUGUUUGGAAUCAUUAUGGAUCACAAGAUAAGAGAUGCUUUGAGGGUGAGGAUGACUUCAUUGAAGGGGAGAUCAAGGGCAGCGGAGAAUGCUUCGUUAAACCCAAACAACGGAUCUAAGUUAACGCAUCGUGGAGGAUGACACGGAGAGGAUGAGGUCAUCACACCUGCACAGAUAUGGGAGGCACCCUUGCGGUCCACAGCACUCACACACCUAAUUCCGUCUUGUUGGCGUGUGGUGACACUUACCAUAGCCUCGUUGUUGAGACGGAAGACUUAGUGGAUUGAAAUCACAAAGCAAGAAGCCCGACUCUCCCUAAUGAAGUCGGAGCCCACAGUCAUUCCUAAGCAGGAGUGGGUGGAGUUGUGGCAAAUUAAUUGCCUACCAACCAACCUCUGAGUCAUAUUUCUACACAGGCUGACCCACUCCUCAAGGAUGGUCCAAGUCCUGGACUGAGCUUUGUGGUCCAGAAGGAGGCUGGAAGGCAGGGCCAGUCAUGCUUCCUCGGAAAACUUCCUCUUCCUGCCAAGAGUGACACCUGUGCUCCCAGUGUGAAAGUGUUUGCUGAGGACAAAGCGAGGAUCAGCAUUGGUGACUGACCCUUUGGCCUCCCCAUGACCUGCCAGAGCCUGGCUUCUUGAGCAGCCUUGGCAAGAUGAGGACAGCAAAUCAUUUUGUGACCUCCUUGCCAAGCUGGGGCUGUGGCGGCCCUACUAGACUUGGUCUGCUUUCACUCCGAGCCCUGCUCUGUGGCUCCACAGGUCCAGUCACCCAUUCCUGCAUGGAUCCUGGGUGCUCUAGGGGACAGGAGCCAGACCCAGGGGUAGGGUUGCGGGUGGGACUGGAGGCUCGGGUGUCAGGAGAAACACUGAAUCUAUUUUGUAGACCUUAAGUCUUGGUAGGGUCCCUCAAGAUAAAGAAAAGAAUUAAAAUAAGAGGACUUGUUAAUAUGAUUAUUAUUUUAGUCUGUUUUAGACUUUGAGGAAAAUAAUUUAGCUCCCAGGACCUUGGUUUCCUCAUUUGUGAAACAAGGAAAAUAUUCUUGUAGGUAUUAUUAUGUGCAUAUGUGUGUGUUAAAAUAACUAUGUAGAGAAAGAUUCUGAUUGUUAUUUUAGAAAUAAAAAUGAAAAUAUUUGCCUUUCACAA